rnacentral:rRNA from 1 species
CUCGUCACACUAUCAUUAACUGAAUCCAUAGGUUAAUGAGGCGAACCGGGGGAACUGAAACAUCUAAGUACCCCGAGGAAAAGAAAUCAACCGAGAUUCCCCCAGUAGCGGCGAGCGAACGGGGAGGAGCCCAGAGCCUGAAUCAGCAUGUGUGUUAGUGGAAGCGUCUGGAAAGGCGCGCGAUACAGGGUGACAGCCCCGUACACAAAAGCGCAUGUGCUGUGAGCUCGAUGAGUAGGGCGGGACACGUGGUAUCCUGUCUGAAUAUGGGGGGACCAUCCUCCAAGGCUAAAUACUCCUGACUGACCGAUAGUGAACCAGUACCGUGAGGGAAAGGCGAAAAGAACCCCGGCGAGGGGAGUGAAAAAGAACCUGAAACCGUGUACGUACAAGCAGUGGGAGCACAGGUUUACCUGUGUGACUGCGUACCUUUUGUAUAAUGGGUCAGCGACUUAUAUUCUGUAGCAAGGUUAACCGAAUAGGGGAGCCGGAGGGAAACCGAGUCUUAAUUGGGCGUUAAGUUGCAGGGUAUAGACCCGAAACCCGGUGAUCUAGCCAUGGGCAGGUUGAAGGUUGGGUAACACUAACUGGAGGACCGAACCGACUAAUGUUGAAAAAUUAGCGGAUGACCUGUGGCUGGGGGUGAAAGGCCAAUCAAACCGGGAGAUAGCUGGUUCUCCCCGAAAGCUAUUUAGGUAGCGCCUCGUGAAUUCAUCUCCGGGGGUAGAGCACUGUUUCGGCUAGGGGGCCAUCCCGGCUUACCAACCCGAUGCAAACUGCGAAUACCGGAGAAUGUUAUCACGGGAGACACACGGCGGGUGCUAACGUCCGUCGUGAAGAGGGAAACAACCCAGACCGCCAGCUAAGGUCCCAAAGUCAUGGUUAAGUGGGAAACGAUGUGGGAAGGCCCAGACAGCCAGGAUGUUGGCUUAGAAGCAGCCAUCAUUUAAAGAAAGCGUAAUAGCUCACUGGUCGAGUCGGCCUGCGCGGAAGAUGUAACGGGGCUAAACCAUGCACCGAAGCUGCGGCAGCGACACUGUGUGUUGUUGGGUAGGGGAGCGUUCUGUAAGCCUGUGAAGGUGUGUCGUGAGGCAUGCUGGAGGUAUCAGAAGUGCGAAUGCUGACAUAAGUAACGAUAAAGCGGGUGAAAAGCCCGCUCGCCGGAAGACCAAGGGUUCCUGUCCAACGUUAAUCGGGGCAGGGUGAGUCGACCCCUAAGGCGAGGCCGAAAGGCGUAGUCGAUGGGAAACGGGUUAAUAUUCCCGUACUUGGUGUUACUGCGAAGGGGGGACGGAGAAGGCUAUGUUGGCCGGGCGACGGUUGUCCCGGUUUAAGCGUGUAGGUGUGUGUUCCAGGUAAAUCCGGUUCACUUUAACACUGAGGCGUGACGACGAGGCACUACGGUGCUGAAGCAACAAAUGCCCUGCUUCCAGGAAAAGCCUCUAAGCAUCAGGUAACAUCAAAUCGUACCCCAAACCGACACAGGUGGUCAGGUAGAGAAUACCAAGGCGCUUGAGAGAACUCGGGUGAAGGAACUAGGCAAAAUGGUGCCGUAACUUCGGGAGAAGGCACGCUGACACGUAGGUGAAGUGAUUUACUCAUGGAGCUGAAGUCAGUCGAAGAUACCAGCUGGCUGCAACUGUUUAUUAAAAACACAGCACUGUGCAAACACGAAAGUGGACGUAUACGGUGUGACGCCUGCCCGGUGCCGGAAGGUUAAUUGAUGGGGUCAGCGCAAGCGAAGCUCCUGAUCGAAGCCCCGGUAAACGGCGGCCGUAACUAUAACGGUCCUAAGGUAGCGAAAUUCCUUGUCGGGUAAGUUCCGACCUGCACGAAUGGCGUAAUGAUGGCCAGGCUGUCUCCACCCGAGACUCAGUGAAAUUGAACUCGCUGUGAAGAUGCAGUGUACCCGCGGCAAGACGGAAAGACCCCGUGAACCUUUACUAUAGCUUGACACUGAACAUUGAGCCUUGAUGUGUAGGAUAGGUGGGAGGCUUUGAAGUGUGGACGCCAGUCUGCAUGGAGCCGACCUUGAAAUACCACCCUUUAAUGUUUGAUGUUCUAACGUGGACCCGUUACCCGGGUUGCGGACAGUGUCUGGUGGGUAGUUUGACUGGGGCGGUCUCCUCCUAAAGAGUAACGGAGGAGCACGAAGGUUGGCUAAUCCUGGUCGGACAUCAGGAGGUUAGUGCAAUGGCAUAAGCCAGCUUGACUGCGAGCGUGACGGCGCGAGCAGGUGCGAAAGCAGGUCAUAGUGAUCCGGUGGUUCUGAAUGGAAGGGCCAUCGCUCAACGGAUAAAAGGUACUCCGGGGAUAACAGGCUGAUACCGCCCAAGAGUUCAUAUCGACGGCGGUGUUUGGCACCUCGAUGUCGGCUCAUCACAUCCUGGGGCUGAAGUAGGUCCCAAGGGUAUGGCUGUUCGCCAUUUAAAGUGGUACGCGAGCUGGGUUUAGAACGUCGUGAGACAGUUCGGUCCCUAUCUGCCGUGGGCGCUGGAGAACUGAGGGGGGCUGCUCCUAGUACGAGAGGACCGGAGUGGACGCAUCACUGGUGUUCGGGUUGUCAUGCCAAUGGCACUGCCCGGUAGCUAAAUGCGGAAGAGAUAAGUGCUGAAAGCAUCUAAGCACGAAACUUGCCCCGAG